rnacentral:rRNA from 1 species
UGGGGAAUAUUGGACAAUGGGCGCAAGCCUGAUCCAGCAAUGCCGCGUGUGUGAAGAAGGCCUGCGGGUUGUAAAGCACUUUGAGUAGGAAAGAAGGGGUGGGAGUGAAUAGCUUUCAUCAUUGACGUUACCUACAGAACAAGCACCGGCUAACUCCGUGCCAGCAGCCGCGGUAAUACGGAGGGUGCGAGCGUUAAUCGGAAUUACUGGGCGUAAAGGGCGCGUAGGCGGUUAGAUAAGUCUGAUGUGAAAGCCCUGGGCUUAACCUGGGAAUGGCAUUGGAUACUGUUUAGCUAGAGUGUGGGAGAGGGGUGUGGAAUUUCCGGUGUAGCAGUGAAAUGCGUAGAGAUCGGAAGGAACACCAGUGGCGAAGGCGGCACCCUGGACCAACACUGACGCU